GACGAACGCUGGCGGCGUGCCUCAAACAUGCAAGUCGAGCGGGGAACUUUUAAAAAGCGCAAGCUUUUAUAAGUUCCUAGCGGCGAACGGGUGAGUAACACGUGGGCAACCUACCCAGAAGACCGGGAUAACGGCUCGAAAGGGCCGCUAAUACCGGAUAAUGUCGGGGGUACCGCAUGGUACUCCGAAGAAAGGGGGAAACCCGCUUUUGGAUGGGCCCGCGUCCCAUCCAGCUAGUUGGUGAGGUAACGGCUCACCAAGGCGACGACGGGUAGCCGGUCUGAGAGGAUGGUCGGCCACACUGGGACUGAGACACGGCCCAGACUCCUACGGGAGGCAGCAGUUGGGAAUCUUGGGCAAUGGGCGAAAGCCUGACCCAGCGACGCCGCGUGAGGGAAGAAGGCCUUCGGGUCGUAACCUCUGUCAGUGGGGGAAGAAGCAAGUGACGGUACCCCAAGAGGAAGCCCCUGCUAACUACGUG
rnacentral:rRNA from 1 species